GAUGAACGCUGGCGGCAUGCCUAAUACAUGCAAGUCGAACGGACUACACCAUGACCUUGAAAGUGCUUGCACUAGAUUGUGAUUGGAUUUUGUAGUUAGUGGCGGACGGGUGAGUAACACGUGGGUUACCUUCCUCAUAGUAUGGAAUAACUAUUGGAAACGAUAGCUAAUACCGUAUAUGACCUUCGGGUUGAAAGGAGCGUUUGCUUUGCUAUGAGAUGGGCCUGGGGCGCAUUAGCUAGUUGGUAAGGUAAAGGCUUACCAAGGCGACGAUGCGUAGCCGGACUGAGAGGUCGAUCGGCCACAUUGGGACUGAGACACGGCCCAAACUUCUACGGGAGGCAGCAGUAGGGAAUUUUCCGCAAUGGACGAAAGUCUGACGGAGCAAUGCCGCGUGAGUGAUGAAGGUUUUCGAAUCGUAAAGCUCUGUUGUAAGGGAAGAAUAGCAUUAGCAGGAAAUGGCUAGUGUGUGACGGUACCUUACCAGAAAGCCACGGCUAACUACGUGCCAGCCGCCGCGGUAA
rnacentral:rRNA from 1 species